GUGCCAGCCGCCGCGGUAAGACGAAGGUGGCGACCGUUGUUCGGAAUCACUGGGCAUAAAGAGCUCGUAGGCGGUGAAGAAAGUCGGGUGUGAAAUCCCUCGGCCCAACCGAGGAACUGCGCCCGAAACUACUUUGCUUGAGGACGGAAGGGGAGCGUGGAAUUCCUGGUGGAGCGGUGAAAUGCGUUGAUAUCAGGAGGAACACCGGCGGCGAAGGCGACGCUCUGGUCCGUAUCUGACGCUGAGGAGCGAAAGCUAGGGGAGCAAACGGGAUUAGAUACCCUUGUAGUCC
rnacentral:rRNA from 1 species